UCUACGGGAGGCAGCAGUGAGGAAUAUUGGUCAAUGGGCGCGAGCCUGAACCAGCCAAGUAGCGUGAAGGAUGACUGCCCUACGGGUUGUAAACUUCUUUUAUAAAGGAAUAAAGUGAGGCACGUGUGCCUUUUUGUAUGUACUUUAUGAAUAAGGAUCGGCUAACUCCGUGCCAGCAGCCGCGGUAAUACGGGGGAUCCGAGCGUUAUCCGGAUUUAUUGGGUUUAAAGGGAGCGUAGAUGGGUUGUUAAGUCAGUUGUGAAAGUUUGCGGCUCAACCGUAAAAUUGCAAUUGUUACUGGCAGUCUUGAGUACAGUUGAGGUAGGCGGAAUGCGUGGUGUAGCGGUGACAUGCUUAGAUAUCACGAAGAACUCCGAUUGCGAAGGCAGCUUACUAAACUGCCACUGACAUUGAUGCUCGAAAGUGUGGGUAUCAAACAGGAUUAGAGACCCUAGUAGUC
rnacentral:rRNA from 1 species